CAAACGGCCCUCUUUAGGGCCACAUCACGCUGGGUAUUUUUUCUUU
rfam:Bursaphelenchus xylophilus, Ka4C1 (inbred line), WGS project CADV01000000 data, contig: scaffold00083.1